rnacentral:lncRNA from 1 species
UUUAAAGCGUUUAAUUUAUUUACCAGACAAUAUGCUGGAAGGUCCGGUGGGCUAAAAGCCGUGAAAACGGCAUGACAGCGCCCAGGUGACCGUUACAUGGCAGCAGCUGUAGAAGGUGCACAGGUCGAGAUUAUAGAUUCGCCGUGACAAAGGUAAAAUGAAAACAAACUGAUUAUAAUACAUAAUACAACAUACACAUAAAUCGCACAAAUACACUUAAAAUUACAAUGCAUAAGGAAAUGCAUAUGCAAAUGACAAGUACAAUA